AAGUCGUAACAAGGUUUCCGUAGGUGAACCUGCGGAAGGAUCAUUAGCGAAGUUCGGAAUGCAUGUUCGAUGUUGAUGCUGCCCAGCAAUGGGAUGUGCUCGCUCGGAUGUGUGUCCCUUCUCUAUCCACCCCAUUGUGAACCAAGUGUGUGAGUCGAAGAGAAAUCGGACGCUCGCAUGCAAACCUUUAACAUACCCCAAUAAAGUAUCAGAAUGUACCUUGCGUUAACUCGCACAAAUAUAACUUUCAACAACGGAUCUCUUGGCUCUC
rnacentral:misc_RNA from 1 species